rnacentral:tRNA from 1 species
CGCGGGAUGGAGCAGUGGUAGCUCGUCGGGCUCAUAACCCGAAGGUCAUAGGUUCGAGUCCUAUUCCCGCUA